rnacentral:rRNA from 1 species
GAUGAACGCUGGCGGCGUGCCUAAUACAUGCAAGUCGAGCGAACGGACGAGAAGCUUGCUUUUCUGAUGUUAGCGGCGGACGGGUGAGUAACACGUGGAUAACCUCCCUAUAAGACUGGGAUAACUACGGGAAACCGGAGCUAAUACCGGAUAAUAUUUUGAACCGCAUGGUUCAAAAGAGAAAGACGGUCUUGCUGUCACUUAUAGAUGGAUCCGCGCUGCAUUAGCUAGUUGGUAAGUUAACGGCUUACCACGGCAACUAGGCAUAGCCGAGCGGUGAGGGGGGUCGCCCACACUGGAGCGGAGACACGGACCAGGCGACUACGAGAGGCAGCAGAAGGGAAUCGUCCGCAGUGGGCGAAAGCCUGACGGAGCAACGCCGCGUGAGAGAUGAAGGCCUUGGGAUCGUAAAACUCUGUUAUUAGUGAAGAACAGAUGUGUAAGGAACUGUGCACAUCUUGACGGUACCUAAUCAGAAAGCCACGGCUAACUACGUG